rnacentral:rRNA from 1 species
GAUGAACGCUAGCGGGAGGCUUAACACAUGCAAGUCGAGGGGUAUAGGUAGCAAUACUUAGAGACCGGCGGACGGGUGCGUAACGCGUAUGCAACCUGCCUUAUACCGGGGGAUAGCCCGUGGAAACGCGGAUUAACACCCCAUAUGACAUCAGAUUCGCAUGGGAAUGAUGUUAAAACUGAGGUGGUAUAAGAUGGGCAUGCGUCUGAUUAGCUAGUUGGUAAGGUAACGGCUUACCAAGGCGACGAUCAGUAGGGGUUCUGAGAGGAUAAUCCCCCACACUGGUACUGAGACACGGACCAGACUCCUACGGGAGGCUG